CAAUAGGCAGCUAAUUCUGUUAAUGUGUGUACUGUCUUGGUUCUUGCUCGGCAUAGUGAAUUUUUAUUAGUGUUUCAUCCAAGUGAUGUUACUCGCUGGGAACGUUGUUUACACAGGUCUGGAACUGUUGCCCAUAGAAAUCAGGUGAAUACAUUUGUGUUCACCUAGUCUACCGUAAAUCACUCUAGAUAAGAGCGUCUGCUAAAUUAAUAGUCUUCAACCGGUAGAAGGUUGACAUCGUGACCAGUAGCGCUGGCCAUCUACUUCAGUCUACAGCUGUACCAGCUGACGUCGUUCUUGAAAGCGUUUGAGUAUCACGUCAAUCAAUUUAAAACAAGUUCUGCGGUUACAAAUUUGCUGCAGUAUCGUAUCGGUCAGGUAGUAACAUUUAUUAGUAACUCUGGUUGGGCAUUUAUAGCUGAAAGUAAACGAAUUGCUUUAUAUCUUUCACGACAUUUGAUUUUUGAUUAAUUAUUAGACUUCGUCAGCUGACGAUAUGGGGGAGGGUUUAAAGACAGAAGGAAGCCAUCUUGGGGUUUCUGUAUAGCCAACAAAAUAGGGAAAAUACCAGAGAUACAACCAAAAUUGUACUGAUUAUCUCAACCAUCCGAGGGCGGCAGUGUGGAGUUGUGGUCAGAGAGUUGGACUUAAACAUCCGAAUCCCACGAGCAGCACUACGUUUUACCCUUGACCAAGGAGGAAAAACAUCAAUCUGGAAGAUGAUUAGGAUGAAGAAACGGGUGGAUUUUAGAACAUGCAAUAUUAAAUGACUGUUGCGAGACAGCCCCGGGCCACUUAAGACCAUACCUGUACGAAUGAGGAAAGCAGGACAGGCUGUACCCCCUCGACUUUUUCCUGCAUUGCAGCACUGACUCAUUUGCUGAGCGACACUCGGAAUAAUAUUCCUCGAAGGAGUUUUUAAGUCUCAGCAGAAGUGGCUUGAGAAAAUAUAAAGCUGUUGACG